CGCAAAGGUGCCAUUGAGUGCAGCGUUGAUGAACCGUCCUACUCCUCCGAGGCCGGAGCGGUUCACCGGCGCUGCACACAAUGACGGCUCUGC
rnacentral:pre_miRNA from 1 species